rnacentral:rRNA from 1 species
UACGAAGGGGGCUAGCGUUACUCGGAUUGACUGGGCGGUAAAGGGCGCGUAGGCGGUUUGUACAGUCAGACGUGAAAUUCCUGGGCUCAACCUGGGGGCUGCGUUUGAUACGUGCGGACUUGAGUUCGGAAGAGGGUCGUGGAAUUCCCAGUGUAGAGGUGAAAUUCGUAGAUAUUGGGAAGAACACCGGUGGCGAAGGCGGCCAACUGGACCAUUACUGACGCUGAGGCGCGAAAGCGUGGGGAGCAAACAGG